UAGAUGAAAGCCUUUACUCCCGCCAG
rnacentral:piRNA from 1 species